rnacentral:lncRNA from 1 species
CGGCCUACCAGCACUGAUCCGUUUCCCACGUCCUGCGCCCGGAUCUGGCAAAGCUCGGGGCCGCGUAGGAGGAGGAGGAGGAGGAGGAGAAGGGCCUCCGAUCGCCGCGCGGUGGCGCCGCGGCGGCGGCGGCGGCGGCGGCGGCGGCGGCGGCGGCGGCGGCGGCGGAGGAGAGGGACGUGGAGCGGUCGUAGCGGGCGCGCUGGUCGGGGUCGGAGAGGGUGGCGUAGGCGGCGUGGAUGCGGAUGAACUCGUCGGCGGAGGCGCCGCGGACGACGUCGGGGUGGCGCUCGCGCGCGAGGCGCCGGUACGCGGCCUUGAUCUCGCGCCCCGUCGCCGCCGCGCCGAUCCCGAGCACGUCGUACAGCGUUCCGCCGGCUGCGGCGGAGGGUGCGGCGGCGGCGGCGGAGGCGCGGAGGCGGAGGCGACGGGGGAGAGGAGGGGGACGGGGAGGGUUCCGAAGCCCGAGAAGGGAGUUCGGAGAGGAGAGGGAGAGCGAUGCAACAGCAACCAUGGAGAAUACGGAGAUGGGGAGAGAUUGGAGAGGUUGAAG